CCAAACUUGGUCAUUUAGAGGAAGUAAAAGUCGUAACAAGGUCUCCGUUGGUGAACCAGCGGAGGGAUCAUUAAAGAGAGUAUACAACUCCCUAACCCAUGUGAACUUACCACUGUUGUUGCCUCGGCAGGGUGUGCUAUGCCGUGCUAUCGGGCACGGGGUAGCCCUGCCUGCCGGUGGCCUAUCGAAUUCUGUCUAUUCUGUUAUUCUGAAACUAUGUGAGAAAUUAUUAAAACUUUCAACAACGGAUCUCUUGGUUCUGGCAUCGAUGAAGAACGCAGC
rnacentral:misc_RNA from 1 species